rnacentral:rRNA from 1 species
CCUACGGGAGGCAGCAGUUUGGAAUUUUGGACAAUGGGCGAAAGCCUGAUCCAGCGACGCCGCGUGGACGAUGAAGGCCUUCGGGUCGUAAAGUCCUUUUAGCAGGGAAGAAUUUUGACGGUACCUGCAGAAUAAGAGGUUGCUAACUCUGUGCCAGCAGCAGCGGUAAUACAGAGACCUCGAGCGUUAUCCGGAAUCAUUGGGCGUAAAGCGUACCGAUCGGUGGUUUACAAGUCAGAGGUGAAAUUCCAAGGCUCAACCUUGGGACUGUCCUUUGAAACUGUAAGACUAGAGGGACAAAGAGGAAGCUAGAACUAACGGUGUAGGGGUAAUAUCCGUUGAUAUCGUUAGGAAUACCGAUAGCGAAGGCAGGCUUCUGGGUGUCACCUGACACUGCUAGGACGAAAGCGUGGGGAGCAAAAAGGAUUAGAUACCCUUGUAGUCCACGCUGUAAACGAUGCAUAUUAGGUGUGUGGGUAGGUAGUACGUACCCUCCUUCUAGUGCACUAGCGUAACGUACGUUAAAGUAAUAGCCGCCGUCGGGUAGGUACGGCCGGCGAACGGACGUAAACUAACGAAAGAAAGUUAGUACGGCGNGAGACGUGCCGACGGACGACGACGAGGGAGGUAGG